GCACUGGUCCCAGAGUCCCAGCCAGCUUCCAGGAGCUGGGGUAGGUCCAAAGCCUUAGCUAGCCUGGGGAUGAAGAAGAUGAAGAUCUUGCUCCUCCGUAAAGAAGGAUGGCCAGGGAUGGGGUUGUUGGGACACUGAGGUGACUUCCUGCAAGGCAACGCUGGCCCUAGAAUCUGGACCCCCCUUUUUUUUUUUCCCAGGCAGGCGCAGCGCUCGCUGCCUCCCUUUUCCCCGCCAGCCAGGUUGUUGGCGCGUUAGACCUCCCAGCCUCACGGGGCUGCUGUGCGGCUGCGACGAAGCUGGCGACUGCGGCGCUGCAGCAGAGGCAAGGGCUCCAGAGGCGGCGCCACGAGCUGGUGAUUGCAUCUGGAAGUGCCCAUGACAGAGCUGGUGUCCUCCAGGGGAGGGUCCCCUACAGGGGACGGGGAGGAGGGUCUGGGGGACGAUCAAGGCCUGGUUAUCCACCACCCGGCGGAGGAACAGUGCCACCGCUGCCCACUGUGCGGGCAGACCUUCUCCCAGCAGCCCAGCCUGGUGCGGCACCAGAAGGCGCACGUGGGGGCUGGCCGCGCAGCCGCCUUCGUGUGUCCCGAGUGCGGCAAGGCCUUCAGCGUCAAACACAACCUGGAGGUGCACCAGCGCACGCACACCGGCGAGCGGCCCUUCGCCUGCCCCGAGUGCGGCCGCUGCUUCAGCCUCAAGCAGAAUCUGCUCACGCACCAGCGCAUCCACAGCGGCGAGAAGCCGCACCAGUGCGCGCAGUGCGGUCGCUGCUUCCGCGAGCCGCGCUUCCUGCUCAACCACCAGCGCACCCACGCGCGCAUGCCCACGCCGCACCCGCGCCGUCCCGGUGUCUUCGGGGAGCGGCGACCCUACUUCUGCCCUCGCUGCGGCAAGAGCUUCGCGCGUGAGGGUUCGCUCAAGACCCACCAGCGCAGCCAUGGCCACGGGCCCGAGAGCCAAGCGGCCCAUUUGAGCCGUGUGCUAUGACCUGUGGGAGACCUGCUACCACCAGCUGUCUCCAAUCCAGAAGCCACAUCCAAGGGUGCUAAAUUGCAGUGCCCUGUCUGGAUGGGCUCCUGGGAGGGGGCAGGGCCAGCUUAGGGUGUUGAAAGGCCUCCGGGCCACCCCUCCCCCUUGUCUUCCUGCCCUUGGACCCCUUGGCUGGCUGCAUGUAUCUGCUUUGGGCACCUGCAUUAAUUUGCCUCCUCCGGCUGCCUAGAGCAGCAUGUCAGACUUGAAAGCUACUUGGAGAAGGUCACUUGCCACGGUUCCCAGACCCAAGCUCGGUCCCCAAAGCCUCAGCCUCCUGUACCCACUGCCUGGUGGCCUUGAGAAGCCAUUCCACUCCAUGUCUCAGUUUGCUUAUCUAUACGAAGCCAACAGGACCUCAUGGCCCAGAACCUGCAGGGCGCAUCUGGGCAUGGAAACUAAAACUGGAGUCUCGUAGGUCCUGGGUUCCUGACCUGAAGACACGUCUCCUCAGAAGUCCUACCUCUGGAGGUGCCCUGUGUUGGUAGAGCAUGGGAUUAGAGGCUGAUUCCAUGCCUUGGUGGGAAGACUCCCCAGAUCUGACUUGUCACAGCUGGGCAAGCCUCAUUUGGCUUCCUGAUCCUAGACCUCAGCUCGGGGGUGGAGGCAGACAUCACCUGUGUGGAGAAGUGGCUUCUCUCCUCCAGCCUGGCUCAGCCCUUGGUUGAAGGGCAAGGACAAGGUGUGACUGUUGUGUACCGUUGCAGCAAGUUGAUGGCAGACUGGGCUCAAGAGGCAAAACUUCCCUGAUGACAUGGAGAGCACGUGAAGGCUUCCAUGCCCGUUCCCAGCUAGACAGGUGACUGCUUCAGGGGCUUGUGGCCCUUUAAGUGGAGGCUGUGGACCUCGUCCUAGAACUCGCGUACUCAUGGAACUCUCAGAGUGCCAAGCAGUUUCAGGAGCCUCUGGACUCCAGCCUAAAGACCUCAGCCCUGGGGAGUCCAUCUUCCAUCCUUUCCCUACUCCACACAAGUGUGACGCUCUCCUGGUCUCCUCUUGUUUGGGAAUAAAGAAUUCUGAGGCUGAGCCCCUUUUAGUCCAUCCAAUCCCUUUCUCUUCAAUCUGACAGCACCCCAAAUUUCUGGAGCCAGGCUUCCCUCCCCAGACACUGCCCAAGACUGACUCCUGGGCUUGGUUCCUUUUCCCUGUUUUGUGUCGGACAGGAUGUAGGGUUUUACAGUGGAGCCCUCUGCUUGCCUUUGGCUCUAACUUCCCUGUGGAGUCUCAAGGGAAGGUUGGCCUGCUGAAGGGAUGGUAAAUAAUUUUCUCUGUGUCUGUUCCUCGGGAAAGGAAUCGUACUUCCACUAGCCAUAUGCAAACAAUUGGACCUCCUAGCUGGGCAGGCUUGCAGCUCCAGGCAGGUAUCACCUGGGAAGGUGGGGGUUGCAGGGCACCAGAACCCUGCACAUGGUGGGUCUAAGCAGUGGGAAAAGCCAGUGGAGGAGUUGCAUGUGUCUCCUAAGUAAGCAGGGGUACAACUUGGAGAUGAGGGUCUUGGGCCACUGCUGGUCAAGGACUCAUAUCCUUACAUAUUAGCCCGUCAGUCGAGAGCCCACAACUGUCUCCCUCCCUUCCUAGAAUGAGCCACUCAUUAGGAAAGGGGGAGGGGCUUUCUUUUCUAUCAGGACUUGGUAGAAACCUCUGGAUUCCUGACUUGGGGUCUUACUGCCUGCAUUCCCCAUGCAGUUUGGGUUACAAGUUCCUACUGAACCCCUAUGCCUUAUUCUGGGGUCACUGAGUACUCAAAGAGAUCAGAGAAAGGGAAGGCGCUACCCAUACCAUGGGAACUUCCAUGCACCCUCUUUUCUAACUUAGGGCGACUUUCACCAUGCCUCUCAGCUAACUGCCCAGCUUGUCUCAUCCCCACUGUAACUGAGCCAUGCCUUCCCUUGUCCUGCUCUGAAAUGUUCUUCCCCUAGCCUCUAAACCCACUUAUUCACCAGGGCCAAGCCUCUCAGCCUACCCAGCCCAUGUUCCUUAACAGUCCUCGUGUUAAUACAUGGUGUCUCCCUGAGUAUCAUGUGCUGUUUAAUCUUGUGCUUGUUUCUUCUGUGUUUGUGUAUGUAUACGUGCUGUGUGUGCCCGUGUGCACCUUGAGUCCCCAACUAGACUGUGAGCUCCCUGAGGGCAAGGGGCUGUCAUUUCUUCUUCAACUUCUAGUGGGUCUAGCCCAAGAACCUCUCAGAAGACAACUGGAUGAAACACAUGCUGGAGGUCAUCUGAGGUGGAGGGUUGUGUGCAUGGGGAGAGUCCACAUGGCUUAGCAAGAGGUCUAUGCUGUUGGGCUAUGGCCUGACCCCUUGGAUCAACAAUGGAUGCUCAAGGUCUCACAUCCUUGCAAAUUGGAGGUAGUAGAAACAGGAGGGACACCCCCUCCCCCAACACAGAUAGACCAUGGCUACACCGGAGUGCACAUGAAUGGUUGGAUAUUCCCAAAGGUCCCUGAUAUCUGUUGGAGGAGGUGACUCAAAUAAAUGUUCUCUACAAC
rnacentral:lncRNA from 1 species